rnacentral:rRNA from 1 species
AUGAACACGGCUUACAUCUCCCUCCUGCCUAAGAAAGAAACUUCGCUUGAUUUGCGCGACUAUCGGCCCAUUUCUAUCGUGCACAGCGUGCCUAAGCUUGGCACUAGAGUUCUUGCAAGGAGGCUUCAACACCGCAUACCAGAGUUGAUCCACUCACUCCAGUCUGGCUUCGCCAAAGGCCGAUCAAUUGUUGAAAAUUUUGUCAUGGCUGUAGACAUGGUACAAACUGCUCACAGGAGGAAGCUUCCUAUGGUGGUCCUUAAGCUAGAUUUUCAGAAGGCCUUUGACACAGUUAGCUGGUCUGCUCUGUUUAGUAUUAUGGAGCCUCGAGGUUUCCCGCAAAGGUGGAUCACCUGGAUCCAUAAUUUUCUGACCACGACAACUUCUCGGGUUAUGGUUAACGGGGAGCUUGGCGACUCCAUUCUUGCCAAAAGAGGGCUGCGGUAG